rnacentral:tRNA from 1 species
GAGACACUAGUUAAACGACAUAACACUGCUUUGUCAAGGCAGAAUUGUGGGUUACACCCCCGCGUGUCUUA